CAUUUUCAUUGUCAAUACCCCAGAUCCGAUUCGGAUUCAUUUCAGUAGCAAAGCACCAGAGCAAGUAACAACAUUAAUAAGUCUCUAAACAAAAUUAAGGACAUUGCUCGAUAUUAAUGAGGUCACCCCGGUUACCGAAUACAAUGGACGGCAUUCCAUGGGAGCAGCCAAUGGAGACACUGUAGAUUGGUUGGCGCGAUCUUGGGGCCUAAUGACGACUUAUUUGAACGACUUCAUUGAAUGCCUAUUUCAGUGACGUUCUGGUCGACCAUUGGGAGUGAAUUUUUCGUGGAAACGUUUACCCACUAUCGCCGAUGAGAACGACACCGUAAUUCGCGUUCAAUGAAGUCGCUUCGGUAAGACGUCAUUUUGCACCAUGUAUCGCGCCAACCAAUCCAUAGUAUCCUCGUUGGCUGCUGCGAUGAAGAGCCGCCCAUUGUAGUCAGUGACUGGGGUGACCUCAUUAAACUCUGGACAGCGAACGUUUCUGAAUCCCCGAAAAAUCCCAAAGAAGUCUAGCAGAUUUUUGGUACACUCCGAGAAAGAAACGACCAAAACAAAGAGCCUGGUCUCUGGGAGUUCACUUAAGGGAGCCGCUGUCCAUUUACCUCUUUCGGUUCCAUUUCGUGCUAUGACGGGGCGCAGCCUCGCAUACCGCAUGCCUCCACCACAGACGAGGUGGUCUGCAAGCUCCUGUUACUGGAUUCAAGGACCUGUCUGAACUUUGAUUCCAAGAAAACCCAUUGCUUGAUCCAAAGGAGGGCUCAAUGCUUGAGCUGAGUUCGGCGCACCUUCAAAACCAACUGAGGCCAACUUGGCUCCACAACUUCCAAUGGAACGGAACUGGUCCAACACGACCAGCCCGAAGAGAUGCUGUUUAAAUCUUAAUUCUAUUGCAGUUUAAGAGAAAGAAAUAAAAGACCAAUUAGAAAAUA